rnacentral:rRNA from 1 species
UAAAAAUGUUAUUUAUUAUUAUAUUAGUAUUAGUUAAGAUCUUGAAAAUAAAAAAAUUUGGUAGUAAUUUAAUCUUCUUAGAGGAACCUGUUCUGUAAUUGAUAAUCCACGAUUUAAUAAAUUUAUUUUAAAAGUUUAUAUAUCGUUGUAUUUGAAUAUUUUUAAAAAAUUUAAUAUUCAAUUUAUAAAAUUUUAUAAUAAUUCAAAUCAAGGUGUAGCUUAUAAAUAAAAAGUAAUGGGUUACUAUAAAUAAUAAUUAGAUUAUUAUUUUUAAAAUAGUAUGAAAUUGGAUUUAAUAGUAAUUUUAUUUAAUUAUUUAAGAUGAUUUAAGUUCUAAAUUAUGC